GGGCUCUUGGCACAGGGGUAGCGCGCAUGCUUUGCAUCUAUUCGAUACAUGCAUGAGGUCGUGGGUUCAAAUCCCACAGUGUCCA